rnacentral:tRNA from 1 species
GAGGGUACAGCACAGUGGUAGAGUGAGUGCUCAGCAUGCACGAAGUCCUGGGUUCAAUCCCCAGUACCUCCA